rnacentral:rRNA from 1 species
UACGUAGGGUGCAAGCGUUGUCCGGAAUUAUUGGCGUAAAGAGCUCGUAGGCGGCUUGUCGCGUCGGCUGUGGAACCUGGGCUCAACCCGGGACUGCGUCCGAUACUCUCGAGCUGGAGGCAGGUAGGGAGAUCGGAAGUUCCUGGUGUAGCGGUGAAAUGACGCAGAUAUACAGGAGGAACACCGGUGGCGAAGGCGGAUCUCUGGGCCUUGCCUGACGCUGAGGCGCGAAAGCUAGGGGAGCGAACAGG